UUCCUCCUUCCUCCUCGCGCUCAAGCAGUCACCGUCACGUGGUCUUAAGAGGUAGGCAAAUAUAGUGGUUCAAGGCGGACAGGUUUUGCCAAGAAAGUUCUUUGGAAAAAAUACAUUCUUUUAGGGCACAUAACGCUUACUUACGGUGAAUAACGGAUGAAAUCGUCAUUGUGAACUAUAUCUUCAUUUUGUUUGGGUUAAGGUUCGGUUUGAUGAAGCGAAACAAAUGAACAAGAACACUGAAACGUCUUGCGUGUUUUGUGCUGGGUGACGUCGCUGCCUCGGCCGGGUAUAUAAAGGAGGGUUUAACCGCCUGUGGGCAUUGCCAACUGUUCCCUGUGCUAGAACAUAAGAGCUGGAAACCGUGCUUUCGUGCUGUUGAACUUGAAGAGCUUCUCAUCUCUACUUCGAAGCCUUCGCAGCGACUUUCUCCUUUCCUGAGCUUCCAAGCAGCUGUUUAGAUCAGCACGUGAGUGAGACUCAACCCCGAGUGCGACGAGAUGCAGCAAUCCGGCAAGAGCGAGCCCGUCCCCGUGCUGACUCGCGUCCGCAGCAAGACGUUCAUCGUCACCGGCGAGCGCCCGAGGGCGUCCCGAGCAUGGGCGCCGCCGUCAAGGGACUCCUGAAGGACUGGCUCAAAUCUGGGAGCGUCUUCGCCGCGCACCAGAAGGGCUUCAUCCUCCCCGGAACGUGGACUCAGAGCCUCGCGAUGGCCCAGUGAGAGCGGGCUGGUGCGAGAUGCGACGGCGUCCACAGCUCAAGCCAAGACUGCAUCGCUGUACAAGAGAUGCAGUUUGAACCGGCCAAAGAUGGCUUUCUGAAUGUGUAGAAUGGAAUUCUAUCAAUAUUUUGGAAGUUCAU